rnacentral:rRNA from 1 species
CAGUAGCCACGGUAAUACGAAGGGGGCUAGUGUUGUUCGGAAUUACUGGGCGUAAAGCGUGCGCAGGCGGUUUUGUAAGACAGGCGUGAAAUCCCCGGGCUCAACCUGGGAAUGGCGCUUGUGACUGCAAAGCUAGAGUGCGGCAGAGGGGGAUGGAAUUCCGCGUGUAGCAGUGAAAUGCGUAGAUAUGCGGAGGAACACCGAUGGCGAAGGCAAUCCCCUGGGCCUGCACUGACGCUCAUGCACGAAAGCGUAGGGAGCAAACAGGAUUAGAUACCCCCGUAGUCCCUGUCUCUUAUAC